rnacentral:rRNA from 1 species
CAGCCGCCGCGGUAAAACGGAGGGCGCGAGCGUUACCCGGAUUUACUGGGCGUAAAGGGCGUGUAGGCGGCCUGGGGCGUCCCAUGUGAAAGGCCACGGCUCAACCGUGGAGGAGCGUGGGAUACGCUCAGGCUAGAGGGUGGGAGAGGGUGGUGGAAUUCCCGGAGUAGCGGUGAAAUGCGCAGAUACCGGGAGGAACGCCGAUGGUGAAGGCAGCCACCUGGUCCACUUCUGACGCUGAGGCGCGAAAGCGUGGGGAGCAAACCGGAUUAGAUACCCGCGUAGUCCCUGUCUCUUAUAC